UUCCUUUCCUUUCCUUUCCUUUCCUUUCCUUUCCUUUCCUUUCCUUUCCUUUCCUUUCUUCUUUUCUUUUCUUUUCUUUGACGGAGUCUCGCUCUGUCGCCCAGGCUGCAGUGCAGUGGCGGGAUCUCGGCUCACUGCAAGCUCCGCCUCCCAGGUUCACGCCAUUCUCCUGCCUCAGCCUCCCGAGUAGCUGGGACUAUAGGCGCCUUCCACCACGCCCGGCUAAUCUUUUGUAUUUUUAGUAGAGACGGGGUUUCACCACGUUAGCCAGGAUGGUCUUGAUUUCCUGACCUCGUGAUCCGCCCGCCUUGGCCUCUCAAAGUGCUGGGAUUACAGGCAUGAGCCACCGCGCCCGGCCAAAGCUACUUUUCUGGCUCUUUGCUUACUACAUGUGAUGAAACUGUUCUUCUUGGUAUGUACCUAGAUAUGCUCCCGGAUGUUUUGGUUUUCAGGGACAUCUGCUCCUCGGCUGAGCACCAUGAACUUUGCUCACCAUCUAGCCUUCAGGACUCAAGCAGUCAACAUAUGCCCUUAAAUUCCCUGGUGGGGGACCCGCUACUUUACAACACUAUUAAUGAACAAUUGGAAAUUAGAAUUUUUUAAAGUUACAUUUAAAGUAGCACAAGAAACAUUAAAUUCUUAAUCUAAAAAAACAUGGAGAAAGGGUAACAAAAACUAAAAAAACACUGGUAAAAGAAAUCAAAGAAGAAGUAAAUAAGUAAAGAGCUUGGUAGCCAAUAUUGACAAUAAAUUAAUUCUGUUCAAACCAAACAAAAAAUUCAAUACAAAAAUUCAAUCCAGUUAAAAUUCCUAACAGGAUAUUUGCAACUAACAAACAAGCUCAUUCUAAAACUUUCAACAGAGAAGCAAAGGAAUUAUAAUGGAAAAAUCAUUUUGACAAUAAAAAAAUUGAAGAAUCCACUGAUUUAUAUGUAUACUAUAUACAUAUAUGUAUAUAUACAUAUAUUAUAUAUACAUACAUUAUUAUACAUAUAUGUAAUAUACAUAUGUAUAUCUGUUGGUGACUUUAACCAUAUGAUUCAUAAUUUCAAAAACUGGUGAAUAGUCAAAAAGUUAUAUACUGUAUCUAUUUAAUAUCACAUUAGGAAGAAAAAGAAACAAAUCUGAUAACAUAACAACAUGAAUGUGUCUCAGAUUUAUUAUGCUAUUUUAAAAGCCAGAUUUAAAGGCCUAUUCAGGAUGCUGUUUGCUCCCUUGUGUAUGACAUUCUAGAAAAUAUAAAACCAUAGGGACAAAGAACAGCGAUUUCCAAAGACUGAGGGCAGCAGAAAUACUGAUUCAAAAGGCACAAAAGGGAAUUUUUCUAGGUGAUGUUACUGUUCUAUAUCUUGAGGAUGGUAUUUGUUAUAUAACCAUCUAUGUUUUCAACACACUGCAUACUUAAAAAGAUGACUUUUGGCAUAUAUAAAUUUUAAUUCGAUAAACCUGAGUUUUUAAAACAAAGAUUUUCUGUAACCAGUAGACUCAUAACACUGUCUUCCUGCCAUUGACUAAGAUGGUUUCAAUAGUGGAUUCCUCUUGUUCAUGCCAGCCAAUGUGUCUUUUGUUUAACCAAAACCCUUGAAAUAUCUUUGCCUCAGGCUUUUAUUGCAAUUUCCUGUAAUUUAAAGACUUCACCCUCCUAUUCACAGGAGUUAGUAUCUUGAAAUGGUAAUAACUUGAAAACAGCUAUGGUGGGAGGACUUACUCUUUGAAGUGUAAAUUACAUACAUGCAGCAUACACCAUGUAUCAAGACUUUCUUUUUUUCUGGUUUUUUUUUUUUUUUUUUUUUUUUUGAGAUGGCGUCUCACUCUGUUGCCCAGUCUGGAGUGCAGUGGUGUGGUCUCAGCUCGCUGCAACCUCCACCUCCCUGGUUCAAGCGAUUCUCCUGCCUCAGCCUCCUGAGUAGCUGUGACUACAGGCACCAUGCCACCACGCUGGGCUAAUUUGUGUAUUUUUUAUUAGAGACGGGGUUUCACAAUAUUGGCCGGGCUGGUCUCGAACUCCUGACCUUGUGAUCCACCCGCCUUGGCCUCCCAAAGUGCUGGGAUUACAGGCGUGAGCCACCGUGCCCAGCCGACUUUCUUUUCAUUUGGAUCACUAGUUUACCAACAUCACUGCCUUUACUCAACUCUAUUAACAAUUAUUUAACCUAGUUUAUCAAGUCACUUGUCAAAAUAGAGAUUUAUAUUGUUUAUAUAUGUAAUAUUUUACAAAUCUGUAUUUUUGUACUUCACUAUCUAAUUAAACCUUUGGGGUAACUUUUAUGUGUAUCCCAAAUAGGACAGGACAGUCAUUCAUUUCUUAUAAUGUAUCAGCUAAUUUCAAGGAGACAUCGGAAUUUUUGUGGAGACAUCGGAAUCUGAAGAGCAAAGUGAUUCAAAUUGGGUCACAGAUUAAAUAAUUUUUAAAAUGUUUACUUUAAAUAUCUUAAAAAACUUUAAGGAGAAAAUUAAUUUUUCUAUAUUGUUCUUGGCCUUAAAAUAUACAUUAAGCAUUAGUUUUCUGGCUUUUGAUGUUUUUCAUAAAAUUAGCUCAAAAAAUGCAAAAAGCUUGUAUGAAUAUAUAAGGGCCUUUGUAAUCAUAUUGUAAUUGCUUGACAUAGUUAAUUUCUUGAUUUCUGACUCUGGCAUCUGAGUUUCAUAAUUGUUAUGUAAUUACUCUAUUUUUUUAAAUCAUGUUUUUAAAUGGAAGUUUCAGUCUCAGAUCUUUUCUAUUUCAUGCAAUAAAUAAUUUUUAGCAGUAAAGAAUUAUUUGGCAAUAAAUAUUUUUUGAGACGUCA
rnacentral:lncRNA from 1 species